GGAUUUGACAUGGCAUGUUUUA
rnacentral:siRNA from 1 species